rfam:Arabidopsis thaliana chromosome 1, complete sequence.
GUGUUCAUAGAAAGGAGAGAUGGUUGGCAUCUCCUCUGACAGAGACGGGGUUGACCUUCGGGUCCUGACCUUAAGGCUCUCCACUUUCGAGUGGAUCUAACCCAUUUUUUUU